ensembl:miRNA gmo-mir-135b gmo-mir-135b
UAUGGCUUCUUAUUCCUAUCUGACUGUUGAUGGCUCAUAUAGGGAUGGAAGCCAUGCA